rnacentral:rRNA from 1 species
GGAAAAAGAAACUAACUAGGAUGCCUUCAGUAACGGCGAGCGAAGCAGGCAUAGCUCAAAUUUGUAAUCUGGCGCCUUUGGCGUCCGAGUUGUAUUUUCUAGAAGCGAGUUCGGCGACAGCUCCUACCCAAGUCCGUUGGAACGCGGCGUCAUGGAGGGUGAGAAUCCCGUGAAUGGUAGGAUGUCUGCUGCUAUGUGAACCGCCUUCGAAGAGUCGAGUUGUUUGGGAAUGCAGCUCUAAAUGGGAGGUAAAUUUCUUCUAAAGCUAAAUAUUGGCCAGAGACCGAUAGCGAACAAGUAGAGUGAUCGAAAGAUGAAAAGAACUUUGAAAAGAGAGUUAAACAGUACGUGAAAUUGUUGAAAGGGAAGCGCUUGAGAUCAGACUUCCUGUCUGGACUGUCCUUGCUUUUGCUUGGGUCAACAGUCCAGGCGUGGAGGCCAGCAUCAGUUUUGACGGCCGGAUAAAGGCCUUGGGAAGGUAGCUCCCCUCGGGGAGUGUUAUAGCCCAGGGUGUAAUACGGCCAGUUGGGACUGAGGACCGCGGCUCUGCCUAGGAUGCUGGCGUAAUGGUCUUAAGCGACCCGUCUUGAAACACGGACCAAGGAGUCUAACAUCUGUGCGAGUGUUUGGGUGGAAAACCCGUGCGCGUAAUGAAAGUGAAUGUAGGUGGGAUCCGCAAGGUGCACCAUCGACCGAUCCGGAUUUUUUUGAAGGAUUUGAGUAAGAGCAUAGCUGUUGGGACCCGAAAGAUGGUGAACUAUGCCUGAAUAGGGCGAAGCCAGAGGAAACUCUGGUGGAGGCUUCGUAGCCGGUUCUGACGUGCAAAUCGAUCGUCGAAUUUGGGUAUAAUGGCCUCACACACCUUCCAAAAUAUGUAGUCGUCAUGAGACCUAGCGAUCCCACUCACUCUUCGUAGCCUUUCCACCAACUUCCAGCUAACUCCGUGGU